rnacentral:rRNA from 1 species
AUUGAACGCUGGCGGCAGGCCUAACACAUGCAGGUCGAGCGGAUGACAGGAGCUUGCUCCUGGAUUCAGCGGCGGACGGGUGAGUAAUGCCUAGGAAUCUGCCUGGUAGUGGGGGACAACGUUUCGAAAGGAACGCUAAUACCGCAUACGUCCUACGGGAGAAAGCAGGGGACCUUCGGGCCUUGCGCUAUCAGAUGAGCCUAGGUCGGAUUAGCUAGUGGGUGAGGUAAUGGCUCACCAAGGCGACGAUCCGUAACUGGUCUGAGAGGAUGAUCAGUCACACUGGAACUGAGACACGGUCCAGACUCCUACGGGAGGCAGCAGUGGGGAAUAUUGGACAAUGGGCGAAAGCCUGAUCCAGCCAUGCCGCGUGUGUGAAGAAGGUCUUCGGAUUGUAAAGCACUUUAAGUUGGGAGGAAGGGUUGUAGAUUAAUACUCUGCAAUUUUGACGUUACCGACAGAAUAAGCACCGGCUAACUCUGUGCCAGCCGCCGCCGUAAAAC